rnacentral:misc_RNA from 1 species
AAGUCGUAACAAGGUCUCCGUUGGUGAACCAGCGGAGGGAUCAUUACAGAGUUAUCACAACUCCCAAACCCAUGUGAACCUUUACCAUUUGUUGCCUCGGCGGUGCCCGCCCCCCGCUCGCUCGGGGAGGCGCGGCCCGCCGGCGGACCAAAACAACUCUUUGCUGUAUCGUGGCACUCUGAGUAUACAAAAACAUAAUAGUUAAAACUUUCAACAACGGAUCUCUUGGUUCUG